CUCAGGAUGAACGCUGGCGGCGUGCCUAAUACAUGCAAGUCGAGCGAGAAUCUUCAGAAACAAUCUUCGGAUGCGUUCAGGAGAGGAAAGCGGCGGACGGGUGAGUAACGCGUAGGCAACCUGCCCCUGGCAGAGGGAUAGCCAUUGGAAACGAUGAAUUAAAACCUCAUAAAGCUCAAAGAGCACAUGCUCAUUGAGCCAAAGAUUUAUCGGCUGGGGAUGGGCCUGCGUCUGAUUAACUAGUUGGUGAGGUAACGGCCCACCAAGGUGACGAUCAGUAGCCGACCUGAGAGGGUGAUCGGCCACAUUGGAACUGAGACACGGUCCAAACUUCUACGGAAGGCAGCAGUAAGGAAUCUUGCACAAUGGGGGAAACCCUGAUGCAGCAACGCCGCGUGAACGAUGAAGGCCUUAGGGUUGUAAAGUUCUGAUCUGUGGGAAGAAGAAAGUGACGGUACCACAGGAGAAAGCCCCGGCUAAAUACGUGCCAGCCGCUGC
rnacentral:rRNA from 1 species